rnacentral:ncRNA from 1 species
UAUUGGUUUUAUUCUUGCUUUAUCCAUUCAUUUUUUGAUUGUUCUAUAUGUAAGUUUUUGCGUAGGUUUUUUUCUUCUAGAUGAAGAUUUAAAGGGAUAUCAGUUGUGUUGUUAAUUUUCAUUAGUUUUUAUUAGUUGAUCAAGUGUUUUUGUUUCUAGCAAUUCAUUUUAGUUUCGGUUAAAUUUUGUGCCAGCAACCGCGGUUAUACCCUGGAGGCGUUUGAAUGUUUUUAGUUUGGUAGUUAUUUGUGUUUUGUGGUGUUUAUUUUCUUAUUAUUUGUUUAUUAGGUGGAAUUUUUAUUUUUUUUUAUGUUUUGUUAUUUUUUGGAAGCUAUGAAACUCUUAUUUUAGACUAGGAUUAGAUACCCUAUUAUUUUUGAGUGUUAAUUCUUGCUUGAGUAGUAUUAGUUAUGUUCUUGAAACUUAGAGAAUUUGGCGGUAUCUUGUACCAUUCAGAGGAAUCUGUCUCGUUAUCGAUAGUCCACGUUGUACCUUACUUAGAAUUGUAAUGGUUUGUAUACCGCCGUUUAUUGAUUAUCUUUUUAGGGUUGUUUAAUUUUCUUGUUUCUUUAUUUUGAUUUAUUUCAGGUCAAGGUGCAGCCUUUUUUAAGUGGUAGGAUGGAUUACAUUGUUAUUUGUUUUUUGGAUUGUGUGUUUUAAUACUCAUAUGAAACUGGAUUUGGUUGUAAUGUUUUGUAGAUUGUUUUCGUGAUAAUUGGUUCUGAGAUAUGUACACAUCGCCCGUCGCUCUCGUUUAUUUUUUGUUAAUGAGAUAAGUCGUAACAAAGUGGUUGUACCGGAAGGUGCGGCUGGAGUGAU